UAUAUUUAUUUCCUAUGUGUGUGAUUGGUAGUGUAUCACCAUUGCCCACCAUAACUAGAUCACUUCCAUUAAAUGGAGAUAAAUUUGUAAGAGUAGUCAAAAAUUGACUAUAAGUGGGGUAUGGUGGUUUACCCAACAUUACCAUGCGAAGGGUCUUGUAUUUUCUCCCAUGACCUCUAGCAAAAUUGAUUACUUUGGUAUCCUCAUCCAAUGGUUUGCGCAUAGCCAUGAGACUAUCACAAAUUCCCUUAUAUUCCUUGAUAUACUCGUCAAUGGACCUGGGCCCUAGUUCAACAGUUUAAUGUUGUUGCUUCAACUAGAAGCUCUUUAUCUUUGCUUUCUUGUAGGUAGGUAUCCUCAAUUCAAUCCCAUAUAUGUUUUGUGGUUGAGCAUCCUAUAAUAAGGAACAUCGACUCUUUUGUUAUAGUUCCAAUUAGACAACUUCUAGC
rnacentral:lncRNA from 1 species